rnacentral:rRNA from 1 species
AUGAACGCUGGCGGCGUGCCUAAUACAUGCCAGUCGAGCGAACAGACGAGGAGCUUGCUCCUCUGACGUUAGCGGCGGACGGGUGAGUAACACGUGGAUAACCUACCUAUAAGACUGGGAUAACUUCGGGAAACCGGAGCUAAUACCGGAUAAUAUAUUGAACCGCAUGGUUCAAUAGUGAAAGACGGUUUUGCUGUCACUUAUAGAUGGAUCCGCGCCGCAUUAGCUAGUUGGUAAGGUAACGGCUUACCAAGGCAACGAUGCGUAGCCGACCUGAGAGGGUGAUCGGCCACACUGGAACUGAGACACGGUCCAGACUCCUACGGGAGGCAGCAGUAGGGAAUCUUCCGCAAUGGGCGAAAGCUUGACGGAGCAACGCCGCGUGAGUGAUGAAGGUCUUCGGAUCGUAAAACUCUGUUAUUAGGGAAGAACAAAUGUGUAAGUAACUAUGCACGUCUUGACGGUACCUAAUCAGAAAGCCACGGCUAACUAUGUG